AAGUGCUGCGAGCAGGAGACGGCGGCGGCGCGGACCCUGCUUGGCCUGCAGUCACCCUCGUCUUGCAUUUUCCCGCGUGCAUGUGUGAGUGGCUAUGCUAAGAAGGAAUCUGAUCUUAAUGGCGCCCAGAUCAAGCUUCGAGAAUAUGAAGCAGCACUGAAUUCUAAAGAUGCAGCUCUUGCUACUGCACUUGGUGACAAAAAAAGUUUAGAGGGAGAUUUGGAGGAUCUGAAGGAUCAGAUUGCCCAGUUGGAAGCCUCCUUAGCUGCAGCCAAAAAACAGUUAGCAGAUGAAACUUUACUUAAAGUGGAUUUGGAGAAUCGUUGUCAGAGCCUUACUGAGGACUUGGAGUUUCGCAAAAACAUGUAUGAAGAGGAGAUUAAUGAGACCAGAAGGAAGCAUGAAACGCGCUUGGUAGAGGUGGAUUCUGGGCGUCAAAUUGAGUAUGAGUACAAGCUGGCGCAAGCCCUUCAUGAGAUGAGAGAGCAACAUGAUGCCCAAGUGAGGCUGUAUAAGGAAGAGCUGGAGCAGACUUACCAUGCCAAACUUGAGAAUGCCAGACUGUCAUCAGAGAUGAAUACUUCUACUGUCAACAGUGCCAGGGAAGAACUGAUGGAAAGCCGCAUGAGAAUUGAGAGCCUUUCAUCCCAGCUUUCUAAUCUACAGAAAGAGUCUAGAGCAUGUUUGGAAAGGAUCCAAGAAUUAGAGGACUUGCUUGCUAAAGAAAAAG
rnacentral:sRNA from 1 species